ACAUGGAAGCGCCGCCGCCAGGCCGCGAGCGCCGCCGCCAGGACACCCCGUCACGCGAGCGCUGCAGCCAGGAGGCCCUGUCCCGCUAGCGCCGCCGCCAGGAUGCCCCGUCCCGCGAGCGCUGCAGCCAGGUGCGCGCUGCCAGGAACCCCUAGCCGUAGCCAGGUGCGCGCUGCCAGGGGCUCGCGGCCGGGACACGCCGAGGCGCGCGGCUAGGGGCUCGCGGCCGGGGCUCGCCGGGGCGUGCGGCCAGAGGCUCACCAGUGCGUGCAGCCAGAGGCUCCCGGUUGGGGCGCGCGGCUAGAGGCUCACCGGGGCGCGCGGCCAUGGGCUCGCGGCUGGGGCUCGCCGGGGCACGCGGCCAGAGGCUCGCCGUCAAGUUCGCUUCGAGUACUACUCUCUACGAGGCCGCGUCAAAGGCGUCGCAGGGCGGGGACGCCGUAAGGCCGGUGAGGCCGUGCGGCCGGGGGCGCGGGCUGCUACCCGCAAGGCGAGGACGCGCAGGCCAGUGGCAGCAUAGGACACGGCGGUGGAGGGCCUGGCCCUGGCGUCGGAUUAGAUCCUGGCCAACACGAGGGCCAAGCAGAUGGCAGUGCUAGCCGCUGAGCUUGGGCAGCUCAGGGAGAAGAUAUCCACGUUAGAAACCAAAUAAUUAUGUUUUAUGGAAAUUCUUAGAUGGAUUGUGCAGAAUUAUGGAAAGGAAAAGAAAGAACAACAGGAGGAUGGCAGAUCAAAGCAAGCAUCCAGUGAGAAAGCACAAUUUAGUAUUUGCUGGGAACAAGCAGUACCUGUCAUUUUCAUCUUCUCUGGGAUGUGAACAAAUUUGCAACUCAUAGUGGUUAAAAAAUUUAAGCAAGUUGCAGGUAAUUUUCAGCAGCUGUGAUCCCCUUAAUUUUUAGAUGAGUUAACUUGUUAAUUUCUUUUGAAGUAUCUCUGAGUGAGAGUGCAAUUACUGUGCACUAAAUGAUGCUACCUGGAUGCCAAUUAAUAUGAUGACUUAAAUUUUCAUUCUCAAGUGUGGCUUUACUUUUUUCAUUUAAGAGUGACUUAAAUUUGGCAUGACUAUGUUUUCUCAAUCUGGUUGUGGUUCACUCGCAACCAUGAUUCUUCUUGAACUUGAUAUGUAUAUGAACAGGUAUGUUAAUCUAAACAAUUCAUAUUGAGUUGUUACUUCACUGUGCUUAGGAGUUAGUUGGAACUGAACACAGUAUUAUGUGAUUUAAUGGUUUAGUUGGUAGCUAUCUACUUCUAGAAUUGGUGUGAGAUGGAAGAUGAAGAAGCUAGAGAAGUGAUGGAACCUCUGCCACUAGCGAGUUUCAGGCAAAGAACACACAAGAUUUUGGCCAAACAAUGAGCAAGUACCAAAUAUAUAAGCAAUGCAGCCUUUUGGAGCAAGUACCAAACAUACAAGCUUGGAGCCUAUUGGAGAUAAAAUUUGCUAAAAGCCUAAAAUUGACUCCUUUUCAACAGGCAGAGCUGGGUAUUGUCAAAGCUGCAUACGAAAGCCUUAAAGAUAACUUGUAUUGGACUAAGGUGCUUUACUGCUUUGUUUGUCAUGUAAGCACAGAACUAUUUUAUUUACAAAGUACUGACAUGUAGAUUAUUCUAAUAUUCAUCAGUGUUCAAGACGUGAUCCUUUUGUAUCGGUCACUGAUUGAAGCUACAAUUUACAGGUUGAUUAAUUUUCUUUUUGAUUUAUUUUGGAUGGUUUGGUUUAUUCUUCAAAUUAGAGAUAAAAUUAUGUUUUGCUUAUUGUUUUUCUAUAACAGUAUUAUUGUAGACUCAUAUAUUUUAGUGUGACAAAAAUAUUUGGUUAUACAA